rnacentral:rRNA from 1 species
GACGAACGCUGGCGGCGUGCUUAACACAUGCAAGUCGAGCGGUAAGGCCCUUUCGGGGGUACACGAGCGGCGAACGGGUGAGUAACACGUGGGUGACCUGCCCUCAGCUCUGGGAUAAGCCUGGGGAAACCGGGUCUAAUACUGGAUAUGACUCCAUGACGCAUGUUGUGGGGUGGAAAGCCUUGUGCGGCUGAGGAUGGGCCCGCGGCCUAUCAGCUUGUUGGGGGGGUGA